UACGUAGGGACCAAGCGUUGUUCGGAUUUACUGGGCGUAAAGGGCUCGUAGGUGGCCAACUAAGUCAGACGUGAAAUCCCUCGGCUUAACCGGGGAACUGCGUCUGAUACUGGAUGGCUUGAGUUUGGGAGAGGGACGCGGAAUUCCAGGUGUAGCGGUGAAAUGCGUAGAUAUCUGGAGGAACACCGGUGGCGAAGGCGGCUCACUGGCCCGAUACUGACGCUGAGGCACGAAAGCGUGGGGAGCAAACAGG
rnacentral:rRNA from 1 species